GAAAGACCUGCUUUACCCAGUCCUGUGCCAGCAAGGCUUCAGAUCAGUGCUUGAGUUGUAAGGUGGCUGUUCCAUAGCUGAUCUUGGGAACGUCUUGUUUCCUCAUCCUGCUGAGCUGCUCUUUUAAGCUGCUCUCGUCUGCCCUCCCCCUCUCCUGCCACAGUAUGGAUGUGAUCCAUAUAGCUGCUCUGGCUGUUCCUGCCGUUACGUAUAUAGGCUAGUACUGCAACAGGCCUUUCUCCAGCUGAGCUGCCUUGGGGGAGCUUGAGGUGGACUUCCAGUUUGUUUGAUCUACAUUGUAGCACGUGGGAGAACACGGCCCUUGGUUCCCGUGUGCCUGGAUCCUGGAGGCUGUGGAGAGAUGGCAUCUCUUGGGAUAGAAAUGAGUGAUGCACAAAAGUGCUCUGCUGCCUGCACCUCGGGAUGUCUGUGAGCUCUAAGUACAGAAAUCUGAUCGCCAUUCAAAUCAUGGUGCAGACUAAAGCAUCAAGCUGAGAUCAGUGCAAAAUAAAAAGAAAGCCCAUCGGUCAGUGCACACUGCAGGAGCUACUGCUUGCAGAAAGCUGCUGGCUCUUACUCACCAUUUUGCAUUCCAAGGAACGGGGGAGCAGCAAAGCUUGGCUGUUUCAGAGGGAUGCCUGAGAGCUGACAGUGUCUCAGAUGCUCUGCUCCGGACGUGCUGGGAAGCUGCUGUUUCCUCCUGUGCUGAUCUGCUCGGCUGGUUCUCAUGUUUCUCCCCUUCACGUUUCAGUGAAGAAAACAUACCUGUGCAUAGUCUGCAGAGCAGCUGUACGGACUGUGUGCUGGGGUCCCUUCUGCGUAGGCAUCUGGUGCCUUCCAGCUGGCUAACUGCAAAGGACGCUCUGCACUGAGGCCCGAGAUGUGAAGUCCUGCUCUCGCCUGCCGUUUCGCCCGCGCCGCUCUGCAGCUGGACUUGGAAGAAGCGUGCCUUCGGACACGUACCACCUGAGCAAUUUGCUAAGGGUCUCGCACGAGUAGCUGUUAUAGUGGACCAUCAGCUUCUGCUCGCUGUCUGAACACAUUCCCAUCACGAGAAAGGGCUCCAGCUCUUCCGAGCGCUUAAGUGCGUGCGUGUUCAGCGCUCAGUAAUACCGGCUGAAUUCUUGUUCUGUGUACGGUGAGUCCGCAGCGCUCGUCCCCUGGUUCAGUUUUAAGUUGGCCCCACGUGUUCAGGGAUUCGGACAACGCUCCUUUUAAAUACUACUUUUUGUACAGCUGUAAUGAAAGACAGGAUUUGCCCUUUGUAACUUGUUAUUUCGGGAGCUGGAGCCCGGCCUGCGCCGUUGCUGCUGGCAGCCUGCGAGUGCCGUCGCAGCGGCGAGCUGAGCACGGCCGGGGCGGCUGAACGGCGACUCGGGAAUUUCGCUGCGCUAUAUUUAGUCAGUUGGUGAAAAAUUGCACUUCCAACGCUUUUGAAUCCUUGUCAGUGCUUAAACAGUCAAAGGGCAAAUCCUGACUCGGCACCAACGAGGGGGGGCUGAGCAAAGCCUCAGCCCCCAGUGCCGCAGGCGAGAGGCGCGAAGGAGGCGGCGCGUUGAGCCCGAGCUCCGGGCAGCUCGGCGAGGG
ensembl:lncRNA